AGCGCAGGGCCGGUCUGAUCUCACACUGGGGCCGCGCUCAGCCGCCUGACGCACUGUCCGGCGGCUGUUACUGAGCAUGCGCGGUACCAUCUGCGGGAGCCGGGACUCAGCCCUCAUGACAGCGUCUUCGCGGCUGCUCUGGGCCGGGGGCUAAACGGAGGGGCGCGAUGCGCAGACUCUGUCGAGGGGGAAAGUGAUCGCGCCCUGGGAGUUAAACAGCUGGAGGCAGGGGAAGGCGAGGGGCCCACGGGCAGGAGGAAAUACCAGAAAACUCAAGUCUCAACUUCCCUUGUUUUGCCAGAGGACCUGCUGGAAUAGACCAGUACAGGUUCAGUUUUACACCUUAACUGAAUGGGAAGUGGUGUUGAAUCUUCAAAUGGCAGAAAGAAGGCAUUUCAAUGAAGAUAGCUAUAUGAUCCACAACAUCUAUGUCUGCCCAUAAACCUCACUCAGGAUCAUGGCCCCAUUCUGCUCAAUGCUGUAUAGACAUACAUGAGGAUAUGGUCCCUGACCCAGAGACUGUACGCUCCAAAAACGUGAUGCACAAUAAACACAGCAUGCAGACCCAUGUGCUUGUGAGGAAUUCACUACAGGACUCAGGCCUUAGAAGUGAAACAACUGACAAUUUUGACUUACACGCGUUAAAGAAAACUACAUACUGUCAUUGAACAUUAUCAGACUGCAAGCCUUUUUGCUUUAAAACCAAUACAAUUAGUUUCUCAUUGAGAAAGACUGACUUUCUGACAGAGGGCUUAGUGCAAGGUCACAGGAUCAGCAUGUACCAAUUACAAGUACAUCUAUUUUAUAUUCUGUCACACUAUCAUGCAACACCAGAUUUUAGUGUAUUUUUUCCAAUUUUGUAGCCAACUUAAAUUUAUUUUCUCCAGUAAGACUGCAUAUGAAAAUUUUCACCCAAUUUGAAUACACUAGGUAUUAGAUUUUGAAUUCUAAAUACUACAAAUUUUGCCACCAACAGAUGUCAGUACUAAAUUUAUUGGCAUUCUUGGGCAGAUUUAAUUCUAUCACAAAUACUGGCACACAGAUUUUGGGAGAGGGCCAUAUAUUUAUAUUCAGAACUCUGGAAACACUUUUGUAUAUACUGUGCCAAUAUUUAGAUAAUUCAUGGCAAGAAAAAGUUAUGCUGAUGAUAUCUCCAGCAUGUAAUAGGAUUAGUUAAAUUUGCUUUAUGGAGACAAUCUUGUGUCUAGCAAAAUCUAUUUAACUUUUUGCUCAGGAAAAACACAAGAAAAUGAGCUGAUAUACUUCUGACUUUUUGCCAUAUUUCUUUCUAAUCAUCUUCAAACAAUGUAACUCUUAUCUCCAAUGUUAGAGGUAUAGUGUGUGUGGGGGGAUGACAAAAAAAAUGCAGACAUCAUGCAAAGA